CUACCCCUACUGUUUGCCAGAUGUUGUAGACAACUGACCAAGCGGAAGCAAAUCUGAAUGUUGUUUACUAAUGAGCAAUAUUAGCAAUAAAUCUCUGCCUUUCAGAUAUUGUCUGUAUUUACGAUUGAAAGCAUUUCAUAUAUGACGCAAUGCUUUCAGUGAAUGACGGUGUAAAUGUGUUAGUGCAUGGAGACAGCGGUAGAUAACUGUAUAGUGUGAUGUGUGUUUAUGAUUCACCUGGCUGGGUUUCUGAGUCUGAUGUCACAUCCUGCAGGGCACUGGAAAGACUUGGCAGACUUCCUAGCGGCGCAGCCUCCUGGGGCUGAUUCAGCCAAUGUUCCCACCCAGGAAUCCUGGACGUCUGACAGAAAACAGACCCAACUCUCCCAAGGCCACUAUAAGUCAGCCUCUCCCCUCACUCCAAAGUCUCCCCCUUAUCCGAAAACCUCUCCCGGGGCCUUUCUUUAUGCUUCUCUCAGACAAACUAUCUUACAAAUAGACAUGCUUCUUCACCGCACCCCAUGUUCACUCUCCCUGCCCUCUGCCCAGCUUCCCAUCAUAGCCUUGUCUUGCUUUGGCCUUUGAGCAAUUGGGACAAUUUUAUUAGGUAAGACAGCCAUGAUUAAUAGCCAAGUAGCAUUUGCAUGUACAAUUUCAGGCUUUCAUGUUGAAGCUAGUUGUUUUCUGACCUUGUCUGAGCAUGUUUGGAUUAAAUGCUUCAUCUUGAAUACUUCUCAGAUGUCAGUACAAUAGGGAGUCAUUCCAGGACCUGCACAUAUACUACAAUUAAAUGUUUUUAGGCUUUACAGAUCAGAAGUACUAGUAAACUCAAACACACAAAAACAGAUUCUGUCAGUAUUUUUUUUUAUUUUAUAAAAAGGGAAUGCAAUUAACAAACGUUUAUGUACCUACAUUAGUGUUUCAGAUUGUACCGAUUUAACACAGGCAGCGUGCUACUGGACACACAAGGCUAUUGCACACAGGACAUUUCAUACAACACAAAUUAUACAAACUGUACAAAGAUACGUACAACAUACUUACAAACAUACAUAGUUAUUUAUAUAUUUAUAAUAAAAAAACAUAGUCAGGCAACACAAUGAAGUGAUAGGUACACAGAUUAAAACACCUCUCCAUCUGAAAAAAAAACUGGGAGAAAGCAAACGUCACUGAAGCUGCCAAAGUGCUUUUCACCAUUUCUACUUGGCCAUCUAAAUGUAAAAGUCAACAAGAAAACACUGAGGAAGAGAAGAGUUUUUAAAUGUGUGUCUACAGGAAGAAGGCUAGUUUAACCCUGAACAACAGGAACCGGACAAUGAAAAACAGGACUUCCUAUGACUGAAGGAAGUUGCGUGUUGUAGGAAGUCAGAGAAUGAGGAUGAAGCUGACCUCCCAGGGGGCAGACCCCCCCCCCCCCUUUGCCUUGCCUUUGAAACCGGAUCUUCUCCCAUUUUGUAGGCGUCUUUGGAAAGAUGAGACGUAUUAACACUUUUAGCUGCACAAGGCAUAUGGCUA